rnacentral:sRNA from 1 species
CCGGAUGCUAAAUGGUCCGGUGCGGGCGUCGGCGGAUGUCCGGCGCGCUGCUUGUAUCCAUGUUGCUCAAACGGAGGAUGUGGUUAUGAGGA